UCCGUAGGUGAACCUGCGGAAGGAUCAUUACUGAAGACACGGAGUUUUGAGACUGCGCCUUAGGGCGUGUGCUCGACUCUUACUCUUUAUCCACACACACCUUUGUGCACCAAUAGGGGAGAUGUCUCCUCUUUUUUAUUAUAAACACCUUAGUUAUAUGCAUGUAAUAUAUGAUACUCUACGGAGUUAAAUGUAACAACUUUCAACAACGGAUCUCUUGGCUUCCGCAUCGAUGAAGAACGCAGCGAACAUGCGAAACGUAAUGUGAAUUGCAGAAUUCAGUGAAUCAUCGAAUCUUUGAACGCAUCUUGCGCUCCUUGGUAUUCCGAGGAGCAUGCCUGUUUGAGUGUCGAGAAUACUCUCAAUUUCAAUUUUUUUUGAAAUUGGAUUUGGACGCUGUCGUGUGAUCCUCUCUCGACUCGUCCUAAAUACAUUAGCGAUCUGCCUUGAUCACACACAAUGUGAUAAAUGUCAAGCAUUGUUACAAUCGAGUGCACGACCGCUUCUAACCACAACGCAUAUAUGCAUGUCAUUUGACCUCAAAUCAGGUAGGACUACCCGCUGAACUUAAGCAUAUCAAUAAGCGGAGGA
rnacentral:rRNA from 1 species